AUAUGUCCAUCCUCGCCGCAACGGUAGCACGUUAUGCUCUUUUUUCUGCGUCCUUUAGGAACCUGUCUUCAACUAAUGGCAACAGGGUUCAUGCAACUGACAAAACACAUUUCUUUGCGACGUAAGAUCACCAAACUUCUUGAUUUUUUAGCGAUCUGGCACAGCGACAUUGUUAAUAAUGCGCACCUUAUCCAUUCUUCUCUUACGUGAGAUGAUAUUAGCUUGCUCAGUCUUGUUAAUUCUGCGAGAUAUACGUCAACGGACUUGUUCUCUUUAAGACGGCGAUUUACGAACUUUUCGUAUGCUGUUAGCUGAGAAGCAGAGAAGACAGUAGUCAGUGCGGUUUUCACUUCAUUUCAGUCUUGUUUUAUAUCAUCACUUAGAACUUGAUAAACGGCAAACGCCCCGCCAGAAAGAAAUAAGGGGAGCACCACAUGCAGCUCGUCAACUUUUUAAAGUUUUGCUACCAGUUCCAAUUUCUGCAUCCAUUCUGAAAAAUCACCCGAACCAUCGUACUGUGACACCAAAUCCGCAAACUUUAUAACGAUACUCAUUGCCAAAAUAGCUUGUUGGUAAGUUAUCUAAAAUUGGUGGACUAAGUGUAAAAGAAGCUGUUAAAAAUAUACUAAAAAGACUCAACUUAGAAAACGUUCCUGUUAUACCGCUUCCAGCAUCCGGAUCCUCUUUCACACAGGGCCUUCUAUCACUUGUCCUAAUAUGGGAAAAAUCGUUCAUCCUUUAGAUGGAGGGAUGGCACCCCAUACAACACCAUAGAAAAAGAGAAUGUUGGGAGGAGAAGAAAAGGUGGCUUAAAAGUUGUUUACUUUAGAUUUCAAAUAUAGACAUUUUAAAAUCUAAAGAACUUUGCUAUUUUUGAAUUACGAUUUUUUUUUAUGAUUGUAAUCGUU